AACAAACGCUGGCGGCAGGCUUAACACAUGCAAGUCGAGCGCGCGCCUUCGGGCGUGAGCGGCGGACGGGUGAGUAACGCGUGGGAACGUGCCCUUUGGUUCGGAAUAGCCCUGGGAAACUGGGAGUAAUGCCGAAUAAGCUCUACGGAGGAAAGAUUUAUCGCCAAAGGAUCGGCCCGCGUUGGAUUAGGUAGUUGGUGGGGUAAUGGCCUACCAAGCCGACGAUCCAUAGCUGGUUUGAGAGGAUGAUCAGCCACACUGGGACUGAGACACGGCCCAGACUCCUACGGGAGGCAGCAGUGGGGAAUCUUGGACAAUGGGGGCAACCCUGAUCCAGCCAUGCCGCGUGAUCGAUGAAGGCCUUAGGGUUGUAAAGAUCUUUCAGCUGGGAAGAUAAUGACGGUACCAGCAGAAGAAGCCCCGGCUAACUUCGUGCCAGCAGCCGCCGUAAAAC
rnacentral:rRNA from 1 species